rnacentral:rRNA from 1 species
GACGAACGCUGGCGGCGUGCCUAAUACAUGCAAGUCGAACGAGAGCAACCGGUGCUUGCACUGGUCAAUCUAGUGGCGAACGGGUGAGUAACACGUGGGUAACCUGCCCAUCAGAGGGGGAUAACAUCCGGAAACGGAUGCUAAAACCGCAUAGGUCUUCGAACCGCAUGGUUUGAAGAGGAAAAGAGGCGCAAGCUUCUGCUGAUGGAUGGACCCGCGGUGCAUUAGCUAGUUGGUGAGGUAACGGCUCACCAAGGCCGUGAUGCAUAGCCGACCUGAGAGGGUGAUCGGCCACAUUGGGACUGAGACACGGCCCAAACUCCUACGGGAGGCAGCAGUAGGGAAUCUUCCGCAAUGGACGCAAGUCUGACGGAGCAACGCCGCGUGAGUGAAGAAGGUUUUCGGAUCGUAAAACUCUGUUGUUAGAGAAGAGCAAGUGCUAGAGUAACUGUUAGCGCCUUGACGGUAUCUAACCAGAAAGCCACGGCUAACUACGUG